GACGAACGCUGGCGGCAUGCCUAAUACAUGCAAGUCGAGCGGACUUGAUGGAGAAGCUUGCUUCUUCUGAAGGUUAGCGGCGGACGGGUGAGUAACACGUAGGCAACCUGCCUUUCAGUUUGGGAUAACUUCCGGAAACGGAUGCUAAUACCGAAUACAUCAUCUUCUGGCAUCAGAGGAUGAGGAAAGACGGCGCAAGCUGUCACUGAGAGAUGGGCCUGCGGCGCAUUAGCUAGUUGGUGGGGUAAUGGCUCACCAAGGCGACGAUGCGUAGCCGACCGGGGAGGGUGAACGGCCACACUGGGCCUGAGACACGGCCCAGACUCCUACGGGAGGCAGCAGUAGGGAAUCUUCCACAAUGGGCGAAAGCCUGAUGGAGCAAUGCCGCGUGAGUGAUGAAGGUUUUCGGAUCGUAAAGCUCUGUUGCCAGGGAAGAACGUUUCGUAGAGUAACUGCUACGGAAGUGACGGUACCUGAGAAGAAAGCCCCGGCUAACUACGUGCCAGCCGCCGCCGUAAAAC
rnacentral:rRNA from 1 species